UGGGGAAUAUUGCGCAAUGGGCGCAAGCCUGACGCAGCAACGCCGCGUGAGUGAUGAAGGCCUUCGGGUCGUAAAGCUCUGUCGGAGGGAACGAAUGCUCUUGGGGUUAACAGCCUCGAGAAGUGACGGUACCCUCAAAGGACGCACCGGCUAACUCUGUGCCCGCAGCCGCGGUAAUACAGAGGGUGCGAGCGUUAAUCGGAAUUACUGGGCGUAAAGCGUGCGCAGGCGGUUCGCCAAGUCAGGUGUGAAAUCCCCGGGCUUAACCUGGGAAUUGCGCUUGAAACUAGCGGGCUUGAGUGUGGCAGAGGGGGGUGGAAUUCCACGUGUAGCAGUGAAAUGCGUAGAGAUGUGGAGGAACACCGAUGGCGAAGGCAGCCCCCUGGGUCAACACUGACGCUCAUGCACGAAAGCGUGGGGAGCAAA
rnacentral:rRNA from 1 species